CUUUUAAAGGAACGAGGUAGGAUACCCUAUUGCCUCUGGUACAGCGCGAUUUCCAGGGACUUCCCCUCUCUCCGAGCAAGGGGAGGGAGCCCACGGCUCCAAAAGGAAGAUCUGCAAGCUUCAAAAGGAAGAUCUGGGACUACAGAAUAACGUCCACGUUUCGCUCCAGAUCAUCCCGUCCUCCCAGGGGAAAGAAAAUGGCUGCAAUGGAGCUGGCUCAGGGGCCGGUGACUUUCGAGGAGGUGGCUGUGUAUUUCACCAGGGAAG